CCUACGGGAGACAGCAGUGAGGAAUAUUGGUCAAUGGCCGGAAGGCUGAACCAGCCAUGCCGCGUGAAGGUCAGUGCCCUAUGGGCGUUAAACUUCUUUUGUGCGGGAGCAAUAAUGGUCACGUGUGGCCAGACGAGAGUACCGUACGAAUAAGCAUCGGCUAACUCCGUGCCAGCAGCCGCGGUAAUACGGGGGAUGCAAGCGUUAUCCGGAUUUAUUGGGUUUAAAGGGUGCGUAGGCUGUGAGGUAAGUCAGCGGUGAAAUGCCCCCGCUCAACGGGGUGAAGUGCCAUUGAUACUGGCUGGCUGGAAUGCGGAUGCGGUAGGAGGAAUGUGUGGUGUAGCGGUGAAAUGCAUAGAUAUCACACAGAACACCGAUUGCGAAGGCAUCUCACGAAUCCGCGAUUGACGCUGAUGCACGAAAGCGUGGGUAUCAAACAGGAUUAGAUACCCGUGUAGUC
rnacentral:rRNA from 1 species